rnacentral:rRNA from 1 species
GUGGGGAAUAUUGGACAAUGGGCGAAAGCCUGAUCCAGCCAUGCCGCGUGUGUGAAGAAGGUCUUCGGAUUGUAAAGCACUUUAAGUUGGGAGGAAGGGCAGUAAGUUAAUACCUUGCUGUUUUGACGUUACCGACAGAAUAAGCACCGGCUAACUUCGUGCCAGCAGCCGCGGUAAUACGAAGGGUGCAAGCGUUAAUCGGAAUUACUGGGCGUAAAGCGUGCGCAGGCGGUUUUGUAAGAUCGAUGUGAAAUCCCCGGGCUCAACCUGGGAACUGCCUCCAAAACUGCAUGACUAGAGUACGGUAGAGGGUAGUGGAAUUUCCUGUGUAGCGGUGAAAUGCGUAGAUAUAGGAAGGAACACCAGUGGCGAAGGCGACUACCUGGACUGAUACUGACACUGAGGUGCGAAAGCGUGGGGAGCAAACAGGAUUAGAUACCCCAGUAGUCC